GACGAACGCUGGCGGCGUGCUUAACACAUGCAAGUCGAACGGAAAGGCCCUGCUUUUGUGGGGUGCUCGAGUGGCGAACGGGUGAGUAACACGUGAGUAACCUGCCCUUGACUUUGGGAUAACUUCAGGAAACUGGGGCUAAUACCGGAUAGGAGCUCCUGCUGCAUGGUGGGGGUUGGAAAGUUUCGGCGGUUGGGGAUGGACUCGCGGCUUAUCAGCUGGUUGGUGGGGUAGUGGCUUACCAAGGCUUAGACGGGUAGCCGGCCUGAGAGGGUGACCGGCCACAUUGGGACUGAGAUACGGCCCAGACUCCUACGGGAGGCAGCAGUGGGGAAUAUUGCACAAUGGGCGGAAGCCUGAUGCAGCAACGCCGCGUGCGGGAUGACGGCCUUCGGGUUGUAAACCGCUUUCGCCUGUGACGAAGCGUGAGUGACGGUAAUGGGUAAAGAAGCACCGGCUAACUACGUG
rnacentral:rRNA from 1 species